rnacentral:rRNA from 1 species
AUACGUAGGGGGCGAGCGUUGUCCGGAAUGAUUGGGCGUAAAGGGCGCGUAGGCGGCCCGGUAAGUCUGGAGUGAAAGUCCUGUUUUUAUGAUGGGAAUUGCUUUGGAUACUGUCGGGCUUGAGUGCAGGAGAGGUAAGUGGAAUUCCCAGUGUAGCGGUGAAAUGCGUAGAGAUUGGGAGGAACACCAAUGGCGAAGGCGACUUACUGGACUGUAACUGACGCUGAGGCGCGAAAGUGUGGGGAGCAAACAGGAUUAGAUACCCUGGUAGUCCACACUGUAAACGAUGAAUGCUAGGUGUAGGGGGUAUCGACCCCUUCUGUGCCGCAGUCAACACAAUAAGCAUUCCGCCUGGGGAGUACGGCCGCAAGGUUGAAACUCAAAUGAAUUGACGGGG